rnacentral:rRNA from 1 species
AUUGAACGCUGGCGGCGUGCUUAACACAUGCAAGUCGAUCGGUAACAGGUGUAGCAAUACAUGCUGACGAGAGGCGGACGGGUGAGUAAUGCUUGGGAAUCUGCCUAUUAGUGGGGGACGAACCCGGGAAACGUCGGCUAAUACCGCAUACGCUCUACGGAGGAAAGCCGGGACCGCAAGGCCUGGCGCUAAUAGAUGAGCCCAAGUCGGAUUAGCUAGUUGGUA